AGAGCAAUCUUAACAAGAGAGCUUCAAAAUCCAUGAAGCAAGAGUUACAGAAGAGAGAAACAAACAUAAGUAUAAUUAUAUUGCACAACCUCAGCAUCUCCAGGAUUAUAGAACAACAUUCAGAAGAAUAUAGAAGAACUGAAUGGUACUUUCAACAAGCACAAGGGAAGGAUGUGUUCCAGUUCUCUCGCCUAACUGUUGCUGGUGGGCAGUCUGCACAUGGUAUUCUCCCUGUGUAAAGUCUGUGUCCAAAUUCGUACCAGUCACAUGAGGACACCAGUCACAUCAUAGCAGGAACUCAGAUCAAAGCUGUAAAAGUCUAUGCAGAGAAGAAAAAGAAAUAUAUAUUAAAGAAGGAGUCUUCUGAGUUGGCACCAUGG